rnacentral:rRNA from 1 species
AUUGAACGCUGGCGGCAGGCCUAACACAUGCAAGUCGAACGGUAACAGGAAGCAGCUUGCUGCUUUGCUGACGAGUGGCGGACGGGUGAGUAAUGUCUGGGAAACUGCCCGAUGGAGGGGGAUAACUACUGGAAACGGUAGCUAAUACCGCAUAACGUCGCAAGACCAAAGAGGGGGACCUUAGGGCCUCUUGCCAUCGGAUGUGCCCAGAUGGGAUUAGCUAGUAGGUGGGGUAACGGCUCACCUAGGCGACGAUCCCUAGCUGGACUGAGAGGAUGACCAGCCACACUGGAACUGAGACACGGUCCAGACUCCUACGGGAGGCAGCAGUGGGGAAUAUUGCACAAUGGGCGCAAGCCUGAUGCAGCCAUGCCGCGUGUAUGAAGAAGGCCUUCGGGUUGUAAAGUACUUUCAGCGGGGAGGAAGGGAGUAAAGUUAAUACCUUUGCUCAUUGACGUUACCCGCAGAAGAAGCACCGGCUAACUCCGUG